rnacentral:rRNA from 1 species
AGUGAACGCUGGCGGUAGGCCUAACACAUGCAAGUCGAACGGCAGCACAGUAAGAGCUUGCUCUUACGGGUGGCGAGUGGCGGACGGGUGAGGAAUACAUCGGAAUCUACUUUUUCGUGGGGGAUAACGCAGGGAAACUUACGCUAAUACCGCAUACGACCUACGGGUGAAAGCAGGGGAUCUUCGGACCUUGCGCGAUUGAAUGAGCCGAUGUCGGAUUAGCUAGUUGGCGGGGUAAAGGCCCACCAAGGCGACGAUCCGUAGCUGGUCUGAGAGGAUGUUGAGCCCAACUGAAAUGGAGAACCGGCCAAGACUCCGAGGGAGGGAACAGGGGGGGAAGGUUGGCAAAAGGGGGGAAGCCGGCCCAAGCCAACCCGGGGGGGUGAAGAAGGCCUGCGGGUGGUAAACCCCUUUUUUUGGGAAAAAAAAGCCGCGGGUUAAACCCCCGGUUUUUGGCGGGAACCAAAAAAAAAGGCCCGGCUAACUUCCGG